rnacentral:rRNA from 1 species
AGAGUUUGAUCCUGGCUCAGAUUGAACGCUGGCGGCAUGCCUUACACAUGCAAGUCGAACGGCAGCGCGGGAGCAAUCCUGGCGGCGAGUGGCGAACGGGUGAGUAAUACAUCGGAACGUGUCCUGUAGUGGGGGAUAGCCCGGCGAAAGCCGGAUUAAUACCGCAUACGAUCUACGGAUGAAAGCGGGGGAUCGGAAAG